GCCCUUGGUAGCUCAGAUGGAUAGAGCAUCUGCCAUGUACGCAGGAGAUCCUGGGUUCGAGUCCCGGUCGGGGCA
rnacentral:tRNA from 1 species